UACAGAGGUCCCAAGCGUUGUUCGGAUUCGCUGGGCGUAAAGGGUGCGUAGGUGGUUAGGUAAGUCCGAUGUGAAAUCUCCAGGCUCAACCUGGAAAUGGCAUUGGAUACUAUUUAGCUUGAGGAGUGGAGGGGGGACUGGAAUUCUCGGUGUAGCAGUGAAAUGCGUAGAUAUCGAGAGGAACACCAGUGGCGAAGGCGAGUCCCUGGACACUUCCUGACACUGAGGCACGAAAGCUAGGGGAGCAAACAGG
rnacentral:rRNA from 1 species